GCUUGGGUGGCUCAGUUGGUUAGAGCGUAGGUCUCAUAUUUACACAUGAACUCCCCCCGGGAGCAUAAUCCUAAGGUCGCGAGUUCGAACCUCGUCCCGAGCA